UCAUUCUCUGCAGAAAAUGAGUUGA
rnacentral:piRNA from 1 species